rnacentral:rRNA from 1 species
UGGAUUUUAAACUGACUGAGCGGCGGACGGGUGAGUAACGCGUGGAUAACCUGCCUCACACAGGGGGAUAACAGUUAGAAAUGACUGCUAAUACCGCAUAAGCGCACAGUACCGCAUGGUACAGUGUGAAAAACUCCGGUGGUGUGAGAUGGAUCCGCGUCUGAUUAGGUAGUUGGUGGGGUAACGGCCCACCAAGCCGACGAUCAGUAGCCGACCUGAGAGGGUGACCGGCCACAUUGGGACUGAGACACGGCCCAAACUCCUACGGGAGGCAGCAGUGGGGAAUAUUGCACAAUGGGCGAAAGCCUGAUGCAGCGACGCCGCGUGAGUGAAGAAGUAUCUCAGUAUGUAAAGCUCUAUCAGCAGGGAAGAAAAUGACGGUACCUGACUAAGAAGCCCCGGCUAACUACGUGCCAGCAGCCGCGGUAAUACGUAGGGGGCAAGCGUUAUCCGGAUUUACUGGGUGUAAAGGGAGCGCAGACGGCGAUGCAAGUCUGGAGUGAAAGCCCGGGGCUCAACCCCGGGACUGCUUUGGAAACUGUAUGGCUAGAGUGCUGGAGAGGCAAGCGGAAUUCCUAGUGUAGCGGUGAAAUGCGUAGAUAUUAGGAAGAACACCAGUGGCGAAGGCG